AUUGAACGCUGGCGGCAUGCCUUACACAUGCAAGUCGAACGGCAGCAUGGAGAGCUUGCUCUCUGAUGGCGAGUGGCGAACGGGUGAGUAAUGCAUCGGAACGUACCGUGUAAUGGGGGAUAACGUAGCGAAAGUUAAGCUAAUACCGCAUACGACCUGAGGGUGAAAGCAGGGGAUCGCAAGACCUUGCGUUAUACGAGCGGCCGAUGUCAGAUUAGCUAGUUGGUGAGGUAAAGGCUCACCAAGGCGACGAUCUGUAGCGGGUCUGAGAGGAUGAUCCGCCACACUGGGACUGAGACACAGCCCAGACUCCUACGGGAGGCAGCAGUGGGGAAUUUUGGACAACGGGGGCAACCCUGAUCCAGCCAUGCCGCGUGAGUGAAGAAGGCCUUCGGGUUGUAAAGCUCUUUCGGCCGGGAAGAAAUCGCACAGGCUAAUACUCUGUGUGGAUGACGGUACCGGCAUAAGAAGCACCGGCUAACUACGUGCCAGCCGCCGCCGUAA
rnacentral:rRNA from 1 species